rnacentral:rRNA from 1 species
UACAGAGGUCUCAAGCGUUGUUCGGAUUCAUUGGGCGUAAAGCGCACGUAGGCGGACUCUUAAGUCGGUGGUGAAAUCCUGGAGCUCAACUCCAGAACUGCCUUCGAUACUGGGAGUCUCGAGUCCGAGAGAGGUGAGUGGAACUGCGAGUGUAGAGGUGAAAUUCGUAGAUAUUCGCAAGAACACCAGUGGCGAAGGCGGCUCACUGGCCCGAUACUGACGCUGAGGCACGAAAGCGUGGGGAGCAAACAGG